rfam:Gossypium hirsutum cultivar TM-1 chromosome 9, whole genome shotgun sequence
UGUUGAAAAUUUUGUCCAUUUCUAUAGUUAAAAAUCAGUGUAGCUAGCAAAAUAAUCAAAUAGUUACACGUGGUACCUCAUGUUAACAUACACAAAUCAGUUUUUAAUAGUAGAAAUUAAUGAAAUUUUUAAUA